rnacentral:misc_RNA from 1 species
GGCAAAUUGGGUCUUUAAUGAACCUAAAUAGAAUUUCAUUGACGCCUUCAAUGGUUGCCAGUGCUUCUGCAUGCUUUUGAUCUGAAGAAAGAAGCUCUAUCAACGCAGUAAUGGAGUUCUGCUUGGAUGAAAGAUCUCUGCAUUCCAAGAACCACAACAUGCAACGUAGAGAAUUGUGCGAGCCUAAAUGUAUUUGCGAUUCC